rnacentral:misc_RNA from 1 species
ACAAAUCUAUAAUGUUGGGGGUAAAAGCCCGACAAAUACCAAUGUGAAUUGGGAGGGCAACCUCUCUAGGCCAAUUUUUGGCCAAGUAUACUAGACCAGAGUCGUUUAAGUAAAAAUAAUAUAAA